UGUGUGUUAUUCCAGAGAGGGGUGAACAACCUUCUUCUACAUUAACGAACACAAAAAAAUCUACAAAUCAAAAGGGAAAUCAAGGUGACUCCCUUGCAUGUUGAGGAACUUUGAUCAUCUAACAUCCAACAAAUUUACGGCAACUUAAGUGAUACACCAGGAGACCAAACGGGAAAGGAUACUCGUAUCAAAGAGAAACUUUAAGGUAAACUAAAAAUCAGGCACCAGAUGGAAGACCAAGCUACUCAAAGAACCGAACAUACAUGAACGCCUACUAAGUUAUGUCUUCUUUUUAUUCAUGUUUUUGUAAACUGUUUAAAUGAUGACUUGUACUUUAAAUCAAACCAUUACAAUACUUUUAUUAAAAAUAUAUUUUAGUUUAAUCAUGAAAUCAAAUGCUUAAUUUGAUUUCAGAGCUUAAGGUUAAAAGGAUGAAUGUGUUCGGUUCAAGGCUUGAUCGCGAAAUCCGGUAAGAAACAAUUAUAAAAUAACUAUUAAUUAAAUAAAUUUUGAAAGGAAAUAAUGGUUAAAAAUGCAUGGGAAGGGGUGCAUUUAUACACCCAAACCCGGAAAUGCAUCAAGUACAAACAGAUAAAGCAAGUUAUAGACUUGGCCAAGCUGAAUAAAAAGAAUGUGUCGUGUGUAUUAACAAAAGUUUAGUUCCCGUAUGACAAUACGAGAAUAAUUAAAAGAAAUGUUGACUAACCUAUUGUGAACAUUUCAGUAGAAUAAUGUCGGGAGGAAAUGAGGAUGAUACGGUACCCCUUAUCAAUGAGGAGAUACGUCAAAAGAUUUUUUGAAGAGGUCGGUAAAGCAUUAGAAGCUAGUCUACCCCUGUUUAUGGAGAGACUACAAACUAACAUUCUGACCCGUUGAAGAAAGGAUCAACGAGCUAAAGGAGAGCCUUACCCAAGAAAAGGAUAAGGCUAAAGAAAAGAAAGCUUGUCCUUACGACAAGUUUAUGGCAUAUAAACCUUCGACUUAUAAUGGAGAGGCAGAUCCAAUCGCUUGUCAAAGGUGGAUAAGCGAUAUUAAAGGUGUUUUUGAACGAACUCACUACGACUCGAGUGAUUUUGUGGCUUACGGGACCGACCAAUUAAGGGCCUAAGCCAAGGAUGGGUGGGAUAACAUCAGAAAUGAAAAGGGGAUUGAAGCUACAUGGACUAUGACUUAGGAGGAAUUUAACGCGCCCUUCCUCAAACACCAUAGUCCUAAAGCAAUGAUCAAUAAGAUCAAUACGAUAUGUUUAAGCCAUUUGAGUGUUGAAUACAUUAAGUUCACGAUCGCAUAAAAGAUGAAAUUCACUAUUA